ensembl:misc_RNA Metazoa_SRP Metazoan signal recognition particle RNA
GCCUGGCAUGGUGGCACAUGCCUGUAGUCCCAGCUAUUCGGGAAGCUGAGGUGGGAGGAUCGCUUGAGUCCACCGAAUUCUGGGCUGUAGGGCACUAUGCCGAUUGGGUGUCCGCUCUAAGUUCGGCAUCAAUAUGGUGACCUCCCGGGAGCAGGGGACCACGAGGUUGCCUAAGGAGGGGUGAACCGGCCCAGGUUGGAAACGGAGCAGGUCAAAACUCCCGUGCUGAUCAGUAGUGGGAUCGCGCCUGUGAAUAGCCACUGCACUCCAGCCUGGGCAACAUAGUGAGACCCCUGUCUCU